rnacentral:rRNA from 1 species
UACGUAGGGUGCAAGCGUUAAUCGGAAUUACUGGGCGUAAAGCGUGCGCAGGCGGUUAUGUAAGACAGGUGUGAAAUCCCCGGGCUUAACCUGGGAACUGCAUUUGUGACUGCAUAGCUAGAGUACGGUAGAGGGGGAUGGAAUUCCGCGUGUAGCAGUGAAAUGCGUAGAUAUGCGGAGGAACACCGAUGGCGAAGGCGGCGAUCUGGACGAUGACUGACGCUGAGACGCGAAAGCGUGGGGAGCAAACGGG